CUGGAGCAAGAGUAACAUUCGCAGUGACUCAUGAGGAAAAAAACAACAAACGUUUUCUCAUCAGCUGUGCCAGUGGAAAGCCCCAACAGUGGAUUGAUUGUUCCAGCUGAAGACUUCACAUUGUAUGAAGAACAAUCCCAGCUGACUGUCCGGUCCAGGGGAGACUCCAUGCCCAAUGAGGAUCCAGCCCAGCUGAACUGGGGACAGUGGAGUGACUUGUCCAUCCCCAAUGCCAUGAGAGCAGUAACCUUCAGGAGGAUUCCACCAAGGGUUGGGAGUGGGGUAUCCCAUUGCCAUAUAUGCUCUCUAUCUCACUACUGUUAUGUUCCAAGUUAAGCCCACGCUUUCCAGGGACCUUGUGGGUAUGCCCCCAGUUUGGGGGGAAAUGUUCUAGACUACCUUUUUGCUGUGGCAUCUCAGGAAAUUCAUGAUCUAAAAGCGAAUGGAAUUCAAUUGAUUCUGAUUGGUUAUAGCAAAGCAUCUCAGAGGGGGCACAUGAAGGACAGUACUAGAAAUCCUACGCCUUCAAGGUUCCAUUUACAACCCCAAGAGGGGAAGAAGAAACUGCCUUCCAGGAGCACCAUCUUGUGAAUCCCAGGAUCCAGUUGGGGGGAGUCACCCCAGAGGGUACUCUAGGCGUCUUCUAAGAGCAUGAUAUGGCUGAAUGAGGAACUCAUAGAUUAACAGAUUUUUUAAAAAGACAGACAAAAGAGGAGAGCCAGGGCAAGUGCUAGAGGAUGAAGACCAAUGUAUAUCAGUAGGAUCCUUUCGGAACAGUGUCAGGGGGCAGGUAGGUAGCACAGUAAAUAGUGUACCAGGUCUGGAGUCUGGAGGUCCUCAGAUACUUCCUAGAUGUGUGACUCUGGGUUUGUCUCUUAAUCCCAAUUGCCAUGGAGUGGGGUGAAGAAUAGCAUCAGGUCUGCUAAAGCUCAGAAUGAGCUGAGGUUUCUAAGGAGACCUGGUUUUGAAAAACUAGAUCAAGUAGGAAGAUUAGGAUAAAAAGAAGGGAUAAAAAUGCUAUCAGUAGAUGGGAUGGUGAUAAUGGAUGAUGGAGAGAAGAUUGAACUGCUUCAUUCUUCUAUUUUUUUCUUUUCUCUCAGCCCGAAAAGGACAGAAGAAAAAUGGCCAAUAGAGAUUAUUAUAUCCAUGAUAAGUAGAAAGACAGUAAAGGAACGCUGAUCUGCCUUUAAUUAAUUCAAGUCACCUGGUCCAUAUGAGCUAUUCCCCAGGGUACCCUAGCAGUGGGCAAAUCACUUUACCCUGUUUGCCUCAGUUUUCUCAUUUGUUUAAUGAGAUGGAGAAGGAAAUGGCAAACCCCUUCAGUAUCUCUGCCAAG
rnacentral:lncRNA from 1 species